UACGGAGGGGGCUAGCGUUGUUCGGAAUUACUGGGCGUAAAGCGCGCGUAGGCGGCUUUGUAAGUCAGAGGUGAAAGCCUGGAGCUCAACUCCAGAAUUGCCUUUAAGACUGCAUCGCUAGAAUUGUGGAGAGGUAAGUGGAAUUCCGAGUGUAGAGGUGAAAUUCGUAGAUAUUCGGAAGAACACCAGUGGCGAAGGCGACUUACUGGACACAUAUUGACGCUGAGGUGCGAAAGCGUGGGGAGCAAACAGG
rnacentral:rRNA from 1 species